rnacentral:piRNA from 1 species
UGCCUCUUUCGAGGAAUACUUAUGCCUGC